rnacentral:rRNA from 1 species
UACGAAGGGGGCUAGCGUUGUUCGGAUUUACUGGGCGUAAAGCGCACGUAGGCGGAUCGAUCAGUCAGGGGUGAAAUCCUGGAGCUCAACUCCAGAACUGCCUUUGAUACUGGCGAUCUCGAGUCCGGGAGAGGUGAGUGGAACUGCGAGUGUAGAGGUGAAAUUCGUAGAUAUUCGCAAGAACACCAGUGGCGAAGGCGGCUCACUGGCCCGGUACUGACGCUGAGGCACGAAAGCGUGGGGAGCAAACAGG